GUCUAUGGCCAUGCUACCCUGAACAAGCCCAAUCUUGUCUGAUCUUGGAAGCUAAGCAGAAUUGGGCCUGGUUAGUACUUGGAUGGGAGACCACCUAGGAAGACAAGGUGCUAUAGGUG
rnacentral:rRNA from 1 species